rnacentral:rRNA from 2 species
UUCCUCAAAUCAGGUAGGACUACCCGCUGAACUUAA